rnacentral:lncRNA from 1 species
ACAUGUCGCUCAUAGUAAUAUUCCGUGUUCUCAAAACUAAUAUCACUUGAUUUAUUUUUUGGAUGUUUCUACCACCAAGCAUUGGCCAUGUAAUGUGUAUUUAAUAAAAACCUCUUUUUUAGUUUAAAUCUAGCAAUUAUGCUUCCAACUUCUUGACUCCAAAUCUCCAUAUUUGUUAAUUAAUUAGUGAAUUGGUAGAACAUAAAUAUAGUGUUUCUUAUAUUUGGCUGCAUAUGUGGCUAUGUUUGGAGAUUUUUUGUAUAUAUUGGGAGUAAGCAGCAUCUUCUGCAGGUCUUUCACAGUUAUCUGGAGAUGCUACUAUCAUUGUCUUAGAGCAUUACCUUAGGGGUUUGCAAGUCAUUGUGGCUGGGAUAAAGGUUGACCAUACUUGAAGAGAGUUCGAUUAACUGGUGAUGAAAGUGGCUGUCAUGAAAAUAACCUACAAAAUUUGAACUAGAAUACUGGAUUGUCCAAGUUGCUGCCAAUAGUGGGAAAGUUUUGAGAACAUGCUAGUACUUCUUCUGUUUUUGACCUCAUGAGGACAUGAUAUUGGAAUAUUGAUUUCUUCCAGGUCAUUGAUCGACUUUUGAAGGCAACUCAUCUAAGAUUGUGUUGCUUAGCAUCUAAUGCAUCACAGUUUAUGAAGUUGUUCUUGCUGAAGUUGACAGAUUGUGCAGCUUCCCCAAAAUUAUCUUCUAAUCAAGAUGUCAAGUUUCUUGAAGAUAUUAUAAGCAAAUGGAAGCAACUCAUGUUCCCAAUUGCAUUUCCUUGUUGAUGGGUGAAUUUGUCUACUUGAGUUUGAGAAAUUUGAUUUACUUGUAUUGGCAAUGAGAGCCAAGGGAGUUGGGAUUCCAAUCUCCUGCAAGAAGAGUUCAUAUAUAUUAACUUCAUCAGCUAUGUUUCUUCUUUCCUUCAUCUAGGCUUGUUUUUUUUUUCUCGUUAGACAAGAAUGAAUUAUGAAGAAGAUGUAUUUACGAUGCAUAUUAAGCAUAUUUAUGAAGAGUAUCAUAAACAAAACCAUAAUUAUCUAGCCUUAUCCCAUCUAUUUGGUGUUAGCUUUAUAGAUCUAUAUCCACUAAGGAUUCUUAUUUUGGGCCACCUUGCUGUUACUUCAAACUUUUCCAUAUCUUUUCUGAUCUGAUUGGAGAGAGAAGGAAUUUCUUCCAUUAAUUCAAUUAACUCGAAUCUCUCAUAGAACAAAAGAAACAAUAAAUGAAAACAAACUUGAUAGCAAGGGGAAAGCAGAGGUUUUUCUAUUUGCUUUCUUUAAAACCAAUAAACAAAAUUGUGGUACAAAACCUCUGAUUCUACAAAUGAGGUCUGCCUCUCCAAAUUCUAGGUCAGAUUCAGUCUUUUUGACUAAAAAGUUGAAUUUUACCAAAAAUAGAAAAAGACAAAAAGUAUCAAAAUUGGUCAGGAUGUUGGAUUUCAACUUCUACAUCAGCUUUGUUUUUUAUCACAUCAUCUAAUUCUUUAUAGUUUGAGUUAUAUCCCAGUCAUUGCUUACUAUAAAUGCUAACUUGAUUUUGAUUGGGCAAUUUGGUGCGCUAAACAGCCUUGAAUCGGGUUUGUUUCAAGCCUAACAGUCCUAUUAGUGGGUUUUCACGCUUUAGAUCUCAAAAGUUACCCAAUUUCAAAAAAUGUUAAAAACAAACACUAUAUGUGAAAAUUAUGCCUUUUGAAUGUUUUGUUUUAUAAAUUGACUUUGGAUGUGGUGGAUCUUUUUCUUGAACCCUAUCUAGAUCUAUCUGGUGUGGACGAGCUGGUUUACAAUGCGUGUAGUGAUUCUUUCGGAUCAAAACUCCCCUAGGAUAUAUAGUUCCCACCGGACUAAAAUUGAAGGUGGAGAAACUCUUGAUUUGCUUUUUCUCGAUUGAACCACUUUACUUUGCUAUAGUUGACAUGAAAAGACUCAUCUUUCCUCUUCGGGUCUAUCCGUCN